rnacentral:sRNA from 1 species
CGCACAUGCCCUCCUUGGGCGUUUCCUCCCUAGACUUACAGGCCGCCGCAAGGCGGCCUCCUUUUCUUGGGGGA